GGGGCGGCCCUCAGGGCCUCCGCCCGGCCCAGAUCGGCCUGCGCAGGGCCCGCGCCCUCGACGAGGAAUCACUGUGUAGCCCAGGCUGGCCUCGACCUCACAGCGAUCCUCCCGCCUCAGCCACCAGAAAGAAAGCGGCACCCCAGUGGUCUCAGUGCUCGGGAGGCUGAGGCGGGAGGAUCGCUGUGAGUCUGAGGCCAGUUGGACCCUACCUCAGAAAACUACAAAUAAGUGUUUACGUAUGUUCGUGCACCCUAAAAGCUCAGUAUUUGUUGGUGUAACGGUUAAACCCUGCUGACUGUGCCUUUAACUCUGAAAAUCGUGCACUGCAGCCUGGAGAACUGCUCCUGACCGGCAUCACUGCUCUCCAGGACCUCAGUGUCCAGCCCAGGGGCCACCCGGCCGC
rnacentral:lncRNA from 1 species